UGUAGCACACACCCCUACCUGUACUAACAUAUUAAAAUAAUCUUGAAUACUUGUUUCUCUUUUCCAAUAAACUUAAUUUAAAACUAUUUUUCAAAUAUCUUUUAAAAUUUUUUUUUUAGGUUGGAUACAACUGGGUAGGAAGGGGGGCGUUUGGCGUGGCACAUGUCCCGUCCCUUAUGUCAACUUAUACACCACUUGUAUAUGCUGUAAAGUUCAAAUAUUUAUAACAAUGUAGCAUUUCACUACGAGGGUGUUAAAACGUAACAAAGACCUCCACCCUUCAAUCUAAAAUAGACCACUAAUAUUUGGAAAUGGAUUGGAAGCAAAUUGGAACAAUUUUUUGUGAAUAAAGAUGACAUAUUUUAUCAGAAAAACACUCUUUCGUGUGAAAAACUUGCAUUUUUUUAAGGGUACGAGGGUGUUCCGGUACCCCCUCCGGUCCUCUAGACACCCCUUUCAUCUAUAGAGUUAUAUGAACUUGUAGCCUACUCUUACAUCUAUCUUUUGAUACCAAGGUAUAGACAUUUGGAUAAGAUUUGACAAAGUUAUAACAAUUUUAGU